rnacentral:rRNA from 1 species
UUUGAUCCUGGCUCAGGAUGAACGCUGGCGGCAUGCCUAACACAUGCAAGUCAACGGGGUUUAUAUAACAGAACUCUCCGGAGGGAAGAUAUAUAAACCUAGUGGCGGACGGGUGAGUAACGCGUGGGCAACCUGCCCUGUACCGGGGGACAACAGCCAGAAAUGGCUGCUAAUACCGCAUAAGCCUGCUGUGCCGCAUGGCACAGCAGGGAAAACCACGGUGGUACAGGAUGGGCCCGCGUCUGAUUAGUUAGUUGGCAGGGUAACGGCCUACCAAGACAACGAUCAGUAGCCGGCUUGAGAGAGUGGACGGCCACAUUGGGACUGAGACACGGCCCAGACUCCUGCGGGAGGCAGCAGUGGGGAAUAUUGCACAAUGGGGGGAACCCUGAUGCAGCAAUGCCGCGUGGGUGAAGAAGCACUCCGGUGCGUAAAGCCCUGUCAGCAGGGAAGAAAAUGACAGUACCUGGACAAGAAGCCCCGGCUAACUACGUG